GACGAACGCUGGCGGCGUGCUUAACACAUGCAAGUCGAACGGAAAGGCCCUGCUUUUGUGGGGUGCUCGAGUGGCGAACGGGUGAGUAACACGUGAGUAACCUGCCCUUGGCUUUGGGAUAACUUCAGGAAACUGGGGCUAAUACCGGAUAGGAGCUCCUGCUGCAUGGUGGGGGUUGGAAAGUUUCGGCGGUUGGGGAUGGACUCGCGGCUUAUCAGCUUGUUGGUGGGGUAGUGGCUUACCAAGGCUUUGACGGGUAGCCGGCCUGAGAGGGUGACCGGCCACAUUGGGACUGAGAUACGGCCCAGACUCCUACGGGAGGCAGCAGUGGGGAAUAUUGCACAAUGGGCGGAAGCCUGAUGCAGCAACGCCGCGUGCGGGAUGACGGCCUUCGGGUUGUAAACCGCUUUCGCCUGUGACGAAGCGUGAGUGACGGUAAUGGGUAAAGAAGCACCGGCUAACUACGU
rnacentral:rRNA from 1 species